AACAGCACCACGGGGCCAGAUGUUGAGAUGCCCAACAAUAUUCAGUUUCCCCUGGAACAAUUGGAGGAAGUGGAGGCAUUUGAGAUGUUUUAUAAAGGAACCGUCAAAUGGCGCUGCUCGACAGAGAGUGAUUGCUUCUUUGGUCACCAUUGGAGGCCAAGAUGUGAAGAAGGUGACCUGGAACAUCCUGGGAAGUCUCUUCACAGAUGAGGUGUUUCAUCAAAUCAACUGGAAGGGUGUUAAUAACAAAAAGCCCUUCAGCAGGAUGGCAAUGAAGACCUUGCUUUACAGUCAGUGACACGGUCAGCCACGGACGAGGAGGUCACAAAGCAUGCCAUCAGGUGGUUCAACCUGGCGCUAGAUUGGGCAGCAAGGAGACGUGUCCCGCCACCCUCCACACAAACGGAGUAGCCUAACAGGAGAAAUAAGAAUUAAAAAUAUAUUUUUAUUGAAAUUCUUGUCAUUCACCAGUUAUUCAUUUUCUGAUAUUUUAGCUGUGCAUAGCGCAGCGUUUCAUUGAAGUUGUAGCCUAAUAGAUAAAAUAUUUUAUGUCUGCACCGACGUAGGCCUAUAAAGCACUAAAUUAGGUUUUGACCACAAAAUGAAUGUAGAGUAACCUAACAAAAAUAGAGUAGGCUAUAACCUAUAACUUUGGUCUAAAUGUCAAUUUUAUAUUUCCAUUGAGUAGUGAUUACUUUUGUACAGUAUAUUGAUGUCUUGACCUGAAUCUUUUCUGACAAUAUUGGUAGGUUCAAAAUACAAGGCAAUGCAGAUUUAAGCUUAGGCCUAUAUUGCUGUAGGCCUAAUAGCCUAGGCUUCGCCUAGUGAUAGUUUUAGUUUUAUCCUAUAGUUUAGUUUAUCGUAUUUUAUCCUACAGCAAGAACAGAAGGGAUUUUGAAAAUGAGAUAAACGGGUCCAAAACGGACCUGGGCCAGAUGAGCCAGGAUUUUUAUGAGUCCGUUGCGGGUCCGCGGCAGAUGUAUGUGGAGGUAAGGUUUUAAUCGCGGAUGCAGCGCGGAGCCGCGGCGGGUCCGUUCCUGAAGCCGCCAUACCUCCACGGCGGAGUCCUUUUGCUGUGUGGGUUGGUACAUACACCCAAUACAAAAUAUAGCAAAAAGAGCCUUUGCAUGUGUAAAAUUAACAACAAUCUAACCUCCUAACACCCAGUCUGACAAAAAUCUGUAAUUAUCUGCUAUUGGAAUUUAAACCAUCCAUAAAUACUGUAUGUAUAUGUCAACAUAUUAUUUGAUUGGACUGAUGUUAAAAUAUGAAGUACAUACAGUCCUUCUACUAAAGUACACCAAGAUCACAGUGUAUUGCUGACCAUCAAAUGUUUUUGUUGUACAUUGACUAAAUGCUGAGUGUUAAAAGAAAAGAGACUGAAACCUCAUUAAUAUAGGUUUGGGGUGGUCCUCACAAAGAUAGCAAUACAAUCACACACACACACAUGGAUUUGAUUCUAAUUUGUCUAUUUUUAGAUUAUAUUGUUACAUUGCAGGUGCAGAUGCAGAUGCAGGUGCAAGUCUCUGUGUGACCUCUGUAUGACCUUUGUUUCUUAGGUGCACCAUAUAGGACCACUCCUAUGCUGUUUUAAGUAUUUGAACCUUAUCUUAUUACUGUUUUAUUUUUAACCCAAUAAUAUGUUACUACAGAAAUAUAAAUUAUCCUGCACAGUUAAAGCCUGCAAUGAGAGAUAACAACAUAAACACAGUACCUCAGUUUCAACUUUGUAUUACCUGAAUGCAGAAAGUUCACAAAAUUCAGAAAACCCAAUAUGAAAAAAAAAAAAGAAAACAAAUAGAAAGACCCGGGUAAUUUAGUCUUUAGUCUGUGUUAACCUGAGUGCAGUCUUUGAUUUAAUUUGUUCUUUAAGUAAGCUUGCAUUAAAGUUUGUUGGCAUGCUUAACGUUGGAGCUCAUGAAGUAAAUAAAGCAGCAGUAUCUCCUUGUGUGGAGUGAAAACAUCCCCUAUCACAUCUGUAGAAAUCCCUCCCGCUAUACCUAACUCAUUUUGCAGCAACACAGCAGAGAUGAGCAGCAGGGACCACACCUUCACCGGUAGCAGAUAGUCCACAGUGCUGGUGAAAACACCUGUGACAACCACUGAAUCUCCUACCAUUGUAAAUAACUGGCAAUAACUCACACACUUGAGAAAACAGGCAGAAGGUGAUUUUGGUGGAGAAUUUUGAUUUGUCUGCUUCCAUCUUCCCGAGCACUGGUCAAUUUGGCACCUGACUGUCCACCACAUAUGGGUUUGAAGCCCAGCAAACUGCCAACUUAUGCUUCCUUUGCACUCCUAAAUUCCUUAUCAAGACUGUCUCCAGGCAAUAGCUCUGAGGAAUGGAUCUUCAGGUCAUACCUCCACUUAUUGCCUUUGUUCUGCUUGGCAGCAAUGGCUUCUGCAACUUCUUACUCAGCUUUCAACACCUUCCUCAUAUCCUCGUACUUGGGGUAAGUUUCCUGUCAUGUGCUGUCGUACUUGAGGUGUGCCAUCACUGGACGUUCCAAAACACAGAUCCACUGGCAAUCUUGCUUCAUGCCCACACAUAAGGAAGGGUAAAAACCCAGUGGCUUUAUUGGAAGUGUAAUUGUAUGCGUGGACAAGGUGCCCAAUUUGCUGACUCCACUUUUUCUUUCUGUUUGGCUCCCUAGGUCCCUAGCAUGUUUAAUAAUGUCUUAUUAAAUCUCUCAGGCUGGAGAUCCCCCUGAGGAUGGAAAGGCAUAGUUCUUGAUUUCUCAACCGCAAGCGCACUCAGUACCUCACAGAUAAGGUAAUCUCUCAAAGUUCCUUCCUUAAUCACUGGUUCAAUGGACAAAAAUUCCAUACAUACAAGGUCCAGUUGCCCUCCUUGUUGUAUCUUUAACCAGUCCGACUCUCUCAAAAGCAGAGGGCAGAUUUUGUGCUUUGUCUGAUCAACUUGUGUGGCAUUUCCAUGGCUUAGAGCUGACUAUACCUCUCCAAUGCCAGGAUCGUCUUGUUGAGCAUUUGACAGCUCAGCAGGACUCUAAACAGGCAUCUCCUUGACACUCUGUGAUAAUUUACAGAUUUUCACACAUGUACAAAAACUCACAACACACAACAGGCCCCAGGGUUAUACAGAGGAUGUCUUUCCAUAAAGAUUUUACAUCAGUUUCAUGUCAGACAGCUACAAGACUCAUAUUUUACAGACACAAAUGAAAAGACUUAGACAUAUUUUUUUUUAGAGUGCCCAAGGCUUUAAAACACAAUUCAAUGUUAAUGCAGAAAAGCUGUUAAAUGUUUUCUCAGCCAGUUUCCAAUUUUUCACAAGUGGCUAAAUACAAUAUUUUACUGUUUUUAUAUGCAUAGGUUUUAAGUUUUGUAAAAAGGAACCUGAAUGCAGCACUGCUCUGGUAACUAAUGGCUCUCUGCUGCUGCUUACUCACCAUGAUACAAACACAUACACCAACCAAACAUGAGUCACACACACAUUUAAAAAAUCAUACAAACAUAAGCCUUUGCUUAAACUUGAAGCAUCCAACCUCUUUGGAAAAAUACUGAAAAACUGGAAAAUUGAAUACCUCGGAAAAUUCUGUUUAAGACGUUUUAAUAUUUUUUAAGGACCUUAAUUGUCCCUACAAUAACUUAUCAACUUUUACAACUUUUCAAGACUCGGUGAGAAAAAAAGCCUUAAAGCCGUGAAAGUUAACCCUUUAAGCGCCAAAGUCGCAAAAUUGCGACAGGACGCGGUACUGAAUCAAACAGCUGUUUUCUCCUAAUAGAGUGUUAUAUCUCAUUCAUACUCCCUUCCACUAGUUUGCAGACAUCCCGUACUUAGACCUUAGCUCAGAAAAACGUCAUGCUUCAAUUCAAAAUGUUCGAGGAAAUCCCAUCCAAACUUGACUUUUUUGUCAAAAGCGACUAGCGUCAAAUCUAGCGACUUUUACUGGUGUUAUUAGAGACUUUUUUGGUGUUUGGAGACUCUGACGUGAAAGCACGUAUCACUCUGCAGUGUGCUCAACGAGCAGCGGGUGCUGCCGUGAGUCCCUCCCCCGUCCAAAAGCACUCACAGGCGGUCAGUCUCACAGUAGCCCCGCACAGCAGUCCCAGCCUGCAGACAGAGCAGAGAGGAGACACACACCACUCCGCGUCCAGGCUGCAAAUGAAUCACGCAUGCACCGCCGUUCUUGCCCUGGCAUACAGAGUGGGGUGAAAAUGUAAAAGUUUCUUCACUCUCACACAAAAUAAUUAUGCAAAUUAGGUGACUUUUAGGACAGCGAAUAGCUACUGAGGAGUUGUUGGGUGAGAAAUCGGAGAUAGUGUGCCACGAAGCCAUUUAUGCUGAAGCGGUAUUGCUGGAU
rnacentral:lncRNA from 1 species